rnacentral:lncRNA from 1 species
AAAAUAUGAGUUAGAAGGUAAAAUCUGUCACCACUUCCUUCUGCUCCCCAAGCAAUCCUGGCCUGGGUGA